rnacentral:ribozyme from 1 species
CGUAUGUGUAGUUCUGUAAAAGGGAUGGAUCCUACGCUCCUAGGAGGCUACUAUAGGUUCUCCUUCACAACUCCUACUCAAUACGUCCACGACGUGCAGAACGGUAACUUGUCGCCUAGAUAACCAAGCUUGGGUACAUGGGGAAACCCACCCCCUUGGGCGGAUGGGCGGCAAGGCUGAAUUGAGAGGG